GAUGAACGCUAGCGGCAGGCCUAACACAUGCAAGUCGAGGGGCAUCAUGGCGUAGCAAUACGCUGAUGGCGACCGGCGCACGGGUGCGUAACGCGUAUGGAACCUACCCACCGCAGGGGGAUAACCCGCCGAAAGGCGGACUAAUACCCCAUGGUUCCCCGACCCUGCCUGGGGUUGGGGGUAAAGCCUACGGGCGGCGGUGGAUGGCCCUGCGUGCCAUUAGCUGGCUGGUGGGGUAACGGCCCACCAGGGCGACGAUGGCUAGGGGGUCUGAGAGGACGAUCCCCCACACUGGUACUGAGACACGGACCAGACUCCUACGGGAGGCAGCAGUGAGGAAUCUUGGUCAAUGGACGGAAGUCUGAACCAGCCAUGUCGCGUGAAGGAGGACGGCCCUAAGGGUUGUAAACUUCUUUUGCAGGGGAAUAAAGUAUUCCACGAGAUGGGAUAUUGCAAGUACGCUGCGAAUAAGGAUCGGCUAACUCCGUG
rnacentral:rRNA from 1 species